AUGGCUAGCAACCAGCUGCAAGUGAUCUGCCGCUUCCUCGACCUGCAUCGGCGCCGCUUCCUCGAUCUGUCCCGGCGCCGUUUGGAUCGUUGCGGCAACGGCUUCGUCGGUCUUCAGCUCCGCCACCUACAUCCUGAAGGAGUACGAUCUCGUGGCUGGAUGGCGACGGACAUGUUGACCAUAUACCUGCACUAUGAAGAUACAAAUCAGGAAGCCAAAAUUUUACAAAGAUCCAUGAUGAGACAUGAUGUCUCGAAAACCUCCAAUCAAAUGAUAAUGGUAUUUCUCGGUCACCAGUACUGCUUGGUAAAACAAAGUUUGCAGAGAAUCCAGUGCAAUGGACCCGUUGAGGCACGCUCGUCUAUGCAACAUGACAUUCCUGAGGAUAAUAAUUUAUCAUGUUCGCAUGAAAAGGUUGGCGACCAUGAUGUCAACCAAUUACAAAUUCAACAAAAUUCAUCAUCACCACAAGACCUUGUUAUUGAUUCUGUGCUAGAGGUGAGGGAAAUGAGGAAUAUUACGGGUGAAUCUGUUUCAAGACUGAACCAGCAAAGGACUAGAACUGAACACCCACACCGCUCAAAAAGAAGGCGUUCUUCUUCCAUCAAGGCUGCUUCCAAAGUAGUCUUAAAGACUUCAACAUAUCCCAACAAGCGGAAUGUUGCGUAUGGUACUAUUCGGAGUACUGAUCCAAGAACUAAGGCUGGUGGUAUUGAGUUAGGUGCUGAAUUUGCUCUUGUGCGCAUAGACGAACCUAUUCUUGAUAAUGAGGAGUUGGUAAGGGAAGUUUCUGAUUGCAAGACAAUUGGCGAGGCUUUCACUUCAGGAUACUUAAUUGCCUGGCCUUCAGCUUUUAUUCGAGAGAAGGAUGGUUGA
rnacentral:rRNA from 1 species